rnacentral:rRNA from 1 species
GGCCUUGACAUACUAAGAACUUUCCAGAGAUGGAUUGGUGCCUUCGGGAACUUAGAUACAGGUGCUGCAUGGCUGUCGUCAGCUCGCGUCGUGAGAUGUUGGGUUAAGUCCCGNAACGAGCGCAACCCUUUUCCUUAUUUGCCAGCGGGUCAUGCCGGGAACUUUAAGGAUACUGCCAGUGACAAACUGGAGGAAGGCGGGGACGACGUCAAGUCAUCAUGGCCCUUACGGCCAGGGCUACACACGUGCUACAAUGGUCGGUACAAAGGGUUGCUACCUCGCGAGAGGAUGCUAAUCUCAAAAAGCCGAUCGUAGUCCGGAUCGCAGUCUGCAACUCGACUGCGUGAAGUCGGAAUCGCUAGUAAUCGCGGAUCAGAAUGCCGCGGUGAAUACGUUCCCGGGCCUUGUACACACCGCCCGUCACACCAUGGGAGUUUGUUGCACCAGAAGUAGGUAGUCUAACCGCAAGGAGGACGCUUACCACGGUGUGGCCGAUGACUGGGGUGAAGUCGUAACAAGGUAGGCGUAGAUGA